CAUGCUAGUCGCACGAGUUCAGACUCGUGGCGAAUAGCUCAGUAACACGUGGCCAAACUACCCUUCGGAGCUCCAUACCCUCGGGAAACUGAGGCUAAUAGAGCAUACCACAAUCCAGCUGGAAUGAGGAUUGUGUCAAACGCUCCGGCGCCGAAGGAUGUGGCUGCGGCCGAUUAGGUAGACGGUGGGGUAACGGCCCACCGUGCCAAUAAUCGGUACGGGUCAUGAGAGUGAGAACCCGGAGACGGAAUCUGAGACAAGAUUCCGGGCCCUACGGGGCGCAGCAGGCGCGAAACCUUUACACUGCACGCCAGUGCGAUAAGGGGAUCCCAAGUGCGCAGGCAUAGAGCCUGCGCUUUUGUACACCGUAGGGAGGUGUACGAAUAAGGGCUGGGCAAGACCGGUGCCAGCCGCCGCGGUAAUACCGGCAGCCCGAGUGAUGGCCGAUUUUAUUGGGCCUAAAGCGUCCGUAGCUGGCCGCGCAAGUCCAUCGGAAAAUCCACCCGCCCAACGGGUGGGCGUCCGGUGGAAACUGCGUGGCUUGGGACCGGAAGGCGCGACGGGUACGUCCGGGGUAGGAGUGAAAUCCCGUAAUCCUGGACGGACCGCCGAUGGCGAAAGCACGUCGCGAGGACGGAUCCGACAGUGAGGGACGAAAGCCAGGGUCUCGAACCGGAUUAGAUACCCGGGUAGUCCUGGCCGUAAACAAUGUCUGUUAGGUGUGGCUCCCACUACGAGUGGGUGCUGUGCCGUAGGGAAGCCGCUAAACAGACCGCCUGGGAAGUACGUCCGCAAGGAUGAAACUUAAAGGAAUUGGCGGGGGAGCACUACAACCGGAGGAGCCUGCGGUUUAAUUGGACUCAACGCCGGACAUCUCACCAGCAUCGACUGUAGUAAUGACGAUCA
rnacentral:rRNA from 1 species